rnacentral:rRNA from 1 species
GAUGAACGCUGGCGGCGUGCCUAAUACAUGCAAGUCGAACGCACAGUUUAUACCGUAGCUUGCUACAACAUACAGUGUGAGUUGCGAACGGGAGAGUAACGCGUAGGUAACCUGCCUGGUAGCGGGGGAUAACUACUGGAAACGAUAGCUAAUACCGCAUAAUAUUGAUUAUUGCAUGAUAAUUGAUUUAUCGCUGCUAUUGCAUCACUAUCAGAUGGACCUGCGUUGUAUUAGCUAGUAGGUGAGGUAACGGCUCACCUAGGCGAAGAUACAUAGCCGACCUGGGAAGGUGGUCGGCCAAACUGGGACUUGAGCAAGGCCCAGAAUCCUACGGGGGGCAGCAGGUGGGGAACAUCGGCAAAUGAGGAAAGUCGGAACGAGGAAAGGCGCGGUGGUGGAGGAGGUUUUCGGAUCGUAAAGCUCUGUUGUAAGGGAAGAACGGGUGUGAGAGUGAAAAGUUCACGUUGUGGCGGUAGCUAACCAGAAAGGGACGGCUAACUACGUG